GUGUCAGCAGCCGCGGUAAGACGAACCGUGCGAACGUUGUUCGGAAUCACUGGGCUUAAAGGGUGCGUAGGCGGCUGCGUAAGUCGGGUGUGAAAUCCCUCGGCUCAACCGAGGAAUUGCGCCCGAUACUGCGUAGCUCGAGGAAGGUAGGGGCGCGUGGAACUUCCGGUGGAACGGUGAAAUGUAUUGAUAUCGGAAGGAACGCCGGUGGCGAAAGCGGCGCGCUGGGCCUUUUCUGACGCUGAGGCACGAAAGCUAGGGUAGCGAACGGGAUUAGAUACCCCGGUAGUCCUAGCCGUAAACGAUGAGCACUUGGUUGAGGAGGUUCCGAUGCCUUCUCAGCCGAAGCAAAAGUGUUAAGUGCUCCGCCUGGGGAGUAUGGUCGCAAGACUGAA
rnacentral:rRNA from 1 species